UUUGCGGUACUCUGACCGUGCAAAGGUAGCAUAAUCAUUUGCCUUAUAAUUGAAGGCUAGUAUGAAUGGUUUGACAAGAAUGAGACUGUCUCUUUAUAAUUUUAUAGAAUUUUAUUUUCAGGUGAAGAAGCCUGAGUCAAAUUAAAAGACAAGAAGACCCUAUCGAGCUUGAAAAAAGUUAAUGGAAUUAAGUGUUAAUAUUUAUAAAAAAUUAUCCAUUAAAUAUUUUAGUUGGGGCGACUAAGGAACAUAGAAAGCUUCCUUUAUCAAGUUAAUUACAAUCAAACCAGAAUUGAUCCAAAAUACUUUUGAUUAAAGGAAUUAGUUACCGUAGGGAUAACAGCAUUAUCUUUUUUAAGAGCUCAUAUCGAAAAAAAGGUUUGUGACCUCGAUGUUGGACCAGAAUAUCCUAAAGGUGCAGAAGUCUUUAAGGGUUGGUCUGUUCGACCAUUAAAUUCUACGUGAA
rnacentral:rRNA from 1 species